CAGCGGCAAACAGGGUAGGAAUGGUCGGUAACGUACCCUUCGGACGGGGAUAGCCACGGGAAACUGUGGGUAAUACCCGAUAAUCUCCUGAAGCAUUAUGGUUUUGGGAGCAAAGGUGUGAUUCCACCGGAGGAGCGGCUGACUUAGUAUUAGCUAGUUGGUGAGGUAAAAGCUCACCAAGGCUUCGAUGCUUAGGGGGUGUGAGAGCAUGGCCCCCACCACUGGGACUGAGAUACUGCCCAGACACCUACGGGUGGCUGCAGUCGAGGAUCUUCGGCAAUGGGCGCAAGCCUGACCGAGCGACGCCGCGUGUGGGAUGAAGGCCCUUGGGUUGUAAACCACUGUCGAGGGGGAUGAAGUGCGCGCAAGCUAUCUUGUGCGUUUGACAGAGCCCUGGAGGAAGCACGGGCUAAGUUCGUGCCAGCAGCCGCGGUAAUACGAACUGUGCGAACGUUAUUCGGAAUCACUGGGCUUAAAGGGUGCGUAGGCGGCUUGUUAAGCAGGGUGUGAAAGCCCUCGGCUCAACCGAGGAAUAGCGCUCUGAACUGGCGAGCUGGAGUGAGGCAGGGGUGCGCGGAACUUCCAGUGGAGCGGUGAAAUGUGUUGAUAUUGGAAGGAACACCGGAGGCGAAAGCGGCGCACUGGGCCUUGUCUGACGCUGAGGCACGAAAGCCAGGGGAGCAAACGGGAUUAGAU
rnacentral:rRNA from 1 species